rnacentral:lncRNA from 1 species
UCAAAUUUCCGCCAUGGCGGCGCCAUGGCGGAUGGCGGUGGCGGUUUUGAGCUAGGACGCCAUAAAAAUGUUAUGGCAUGGCAGUUUUGCCAUGGCGGGUUAUGGCGGCCGCCAUAUCCAUGGCGCCAUGGCGGCCAUGGCGGGAUAUGGCGGAAAUUUGGCCCAUACCCGCUUUACGGGCGGGUCGACCCGUUGACCCGACCCUUUGACCCUUUGACUUAGUUAUAUUAGGUUUAAAAAUUAGGGUUUCAACAUUGUAGUAGCCUCCAAACUUCAAACUUGAAACNUAAGUUCUCCCUGGAUAGGUAGAUAAAGAAUUAGGUCAGUAGCUCAUAGAAUAAUCAGAACACAAAUCUAAGACAAAAGACAGGUGACAAACUACAAGCUAACUGCAUUCAAAAAAACUACAAGUUAACUAGAAAUCAAAUUCAAGGCUAAUUCAAGUAAAUGUCCAUUUCUUAAUACUGAUAGCAUUUUAUGGUUUAUACUACGUGGAUGUUGGAACUGUGGUGCCACAAACUUAAGUUCUACUUAGUCGUUUCCUCAAACCACAUAGGCCAAAGCACAUCUGAUAUUAUCAUAGAAAAUGUUUUUUGCAGUUCAAUCCAAGUAAAGCCUCCCAUUUUACAGGUUUAAUGGAGGUGUUAUGGAAAUAAAUAUUGACUGUAUGGGGCAAAGGAUUUAGCUCUUAUUAACUUUGCAAAGCUCCCAAAGAAUUUCGACUAAUUGACUAUAGAACUGUAGUAAUAGCUGAAUGUAAGAUGGUACAAUAGUAUCAAUCUAAAAGAGCUAAUAAAAAAUUGGGAAUGAGGAUAUAUUGAUGAACUUAUUUCAUAACUAAAGAUUCAAAUGAUAAACAUUGGCAAAAAAAGGUCACUUGUGCAAUAUUUGCCUCCAAAACCAAACAGGUCAAUAUAGCAACCUACUGCACACAGACAACCAAACUCAGAUCAUCUAGAGGACAACUAAGACCUGUUGAGAGAAACUGGAUGUGAGCCAGGAAAAUGCUGAGGUCCUCUAACCUGCAGAUAAACAAACACAAUUUCUAUCAGCAACAUUUGUAGCAUAUACUACAUAUAAAAAUGUGAUACUCCAGGAGAACAUACCCCUCCAGGCAACUUCAUAGUCUGUAAGACAAACUGCCGCAUCACUACUUCUUGGUCACUAGGAAUUUUAUCUCCCAGAAGGUCAUCAUUUGUUCAGUGUUGUCCGUGUCGUCAUUAGUCUCCUAUAUAUUACAUGUUCAAGGUUAGAUGGAGAAGACACUGAUGAGUAAGACACAGAAACUAGAGGCACUAAAACUUUACAUACAACAAUUAGUUUAGUAUUUUAGAUGAAGAUACAUAUAUAUAUAUAUAUAUAUAUAUACAAAUAUACAGGUACACACGCACAUACAUCUGGAGGAGCGGUAGAAUCUCCAUCAUCGUCAUCAUCAUCCGGCACUGCAUCACCAUUCAGAUCCAGUUCAGAAGAUCUUUUCCACUCUGGGGUUGUAGGGCAAACAACCAUCUCUGGUUUUUUCUCAUGAUAAAAACUAUACAAGGCAUCAAUGUAGUCUGGUUUGUAAAUCCCCGGUGGACGUGCAUCAGAAAAUAUCUUGAUUGCCUGCAAAAAAAAAAGUAACAAAGUUGAAACAAUAGUCACAAUACACAUAUGACAUAUCCAGCUUCAAGAAAUUGAACAAAUCAACAACCAUCUCACCUGAGUCACGGACAUAGGCAUUGUACGCAUGAGAUAAUGGGCAAUCAUAUAUCCUGUACGAUUAUGCCCAUGUGUGCAGUGAACAAGAAUAUGCUUUUUCGGUUGCCUUUGCCGAGCCAGAAAUUGUUGGACCUAAUAAAAACAUGUGUGCAACUUAAAACUUCUAUAUCUUCAAAGCUAAUAAAAUAAAAUUCUACUUAAAAGAGAAACUAAUAAUAGGAAAAUAUAGAUACUUCAACCUACACAUGUUAUAUGCAUAAAUAAAAAAGAAAGUUAUAUUAAGCAGAUAGCAAAGCAAGUGUUUUUAGCUAACUGCAAAGAGAGAUUAAAGUAGACCUUCCCUCAAAUCACUUACCAUGUUGACUAGUAAGGCAAUUCCCAUAACGAAUCUGAACUAUGUUAUGUUUCAACCACUAUUUAUGAAUAUCUCACAUAGAAAAAAUAACUAGAAUAGGAAUGCAUGGUCAGAAGACUCGGACAGUAAACAUGUUCUGUGAUCCUGAUGAGCCACUUCAACUUAACAGAUCCAAUUUGUAAUGGGGCUCUAAGUAGACAGCAGACAUUAAUAGUUUUCAAAGCGUGUAAAAGCCCAAGGCUAUGAAUCAGUGUUGUCAAAUUUCCGCCAUGGCGGCGCCAUGGCGGAUGGCGGUGGCGGUUUUGGGCUAGGACGCCAUAAAAAUGUUAUGGCAUGGCAGUUUUGCCAUGGCGGGUUAUGGCGGCCGCCAUAUCCAUGGCGCCAUGGCGGCCAUGGCGGGAUAUGGCGGAAAUUUGGCCCAUACCCGCUUUACAGGCGGGUCGACCCGUUGACCCGACCCUUUGACCCUUUGACUUAGUUAUAUUAGGUUUAAAAAUUAGGGUUUCAACAUUGUAGUAGCCUCCAAUGUUCAAACUUCAAACUUGAAACUGCUCAGCGGCGCCUCCUCUGAUUCUCGGACCGGCGACCACUGCUCCGGCGACGCACCGGCGACCCACUGCUCCGGCGAGCUCCGGCGAUCUCCGGCGACCUCAGGUAGGUCCAUUUUUUUUGGUUUUUUUUAGUUAUUUUUCGUUUUUUAGUUGUUUUUUUAAUUUUUAUAGCAGUUUAUUUCAUUUAAACACUAGAUUAUUUUGAUUAUUUCAUAUUUUCUGAAAUUUUUCAGUUUAAGAUUAUGAUUACAAAUUUAGUUGUCAUUUUUUCUUAUUUGUAAUCUGAAGGAGAAGAGGAAGAAGGGUUUGCUCCUUUGGAUGAUGAUGAAGAUGAUGACUACGUGGAUGUUGAUGAGGAGGACUAGCAUUAUUAUCUAUCUAUCUAUUUCUUAUGUCUUAUGCUUGAAGUUGAAGACUUGAACUUAUUAUUGCAUUUUGUUAUGUUUAAACUUUGAACUUAGGAAUAUGUCAUGUUUAAACUUAGGAUAUCAAGUUUUCUAUGAUUUUUCUUGGAUUUUGCAUGUUUUAAUUUCAUAAUUUGCAUAUAUAUAAGUAUAUAUAUUAUUAUUUUAUUAAUCCGCCAUGCGUCCGCCAUAACCCGCCAUGGCACCCGCCAUAUCCUUAUGGCGGUUUUCAGGCCGGACCGCCAUGGACCGCCAUCCGCCAUCGAUAACAUUGCU